UGUGGCCUCCGUGCGUCCAGCUGUCUUGCAGGUGGAAUGCCACCCAUACUUGGCUCAAAAUGAGCUAAUUGCCCACUGCCAAGCACGUGGCCUGGAGGUAACUGCUUAUAGCCCUUUGGGCUCCUCUGAUCGUGCAUGGCGUGAUCCUGAUGAGCCUGUCCUGCUGGAGGAACCAGUAGUCCUGGCAUUGGCUGAAAAGUAUGGCCGAUCUCCAGCUCAGAUCUUGCUCAGGUGGCAGGUCCAGCGGAAAGUGAUCUGCAUCCCCAAAAGUAUCACUCCUUCUCGAAUCCUUCAGAACAUCAAGGUACUUGGUGUUUGACUUCACCUUUAGCCCAGAAGAGAUGAAGCAGCUAAAUGCCCUGAACAAAAAUUGGAGAUAUAUUGUGCCUAUGCUUACGGUGGAUGGGAAGAGAGUCCCAAGGGAUGCAGGGCAUCCUCUGUACCCCUUUAAUGACCCGUACUGAGACCACAGCUUCUUGGCCUCCCUUCCAGCUCUGCAGCUAAUGAGGUCCUGCCACAACGGAAAGAGGGAGUUAAUAAAGCCAUUGGAGC
rnacentral:sRNA from 1 species